AUUGAACGCUAGCGGCAGGCCUAACACAUGCAAGUCGAACGAGUCGCGGACGGGUGAGUAAUGUAUGGAAAACUGCCGGAUGGUGGGGGGUCACUACUGGGAACGGUAGCUAAUAACACAAACCAUCUGAUUGGCCUAGAUGGGAUUAGUUAGGAGGUGGGGUAAUGGCGCACCUAGCCGUCGAUCCCUAGCUGGUCUGAGAGGAUGACCAGCCAACCUGGAACUGAGACACGGUCCAGACUCAUACGGGAGGCAGCAGUGGGGAAUAUUGCACAAUGGGCGCAGGCCUGAUGCAGCCAUGCCGCGUGUAUGAAGAAGGCCUUCGGGUUGUAAAGUACUUUCAGCGGGGAGGCGUUAACCGCAGAAGAAGCACCGGCUAACUCCGUGCCAGCCGCCGCGGUAAUAC
rnacentral:rRNA from 1 species